AACCAUAGAAACCUGCGGAGUACCUGCGGAGGGAUCAUUAUUGAAUUGCUAGUACCAAAGUACUAUUGCAAAUCCUAUUUGUCCCAACUUUAUACCCUUCAAUAAACCAAUUGAAAUUGUCUGACCAAAUGAAAUAUCCAAAAUGAAUACAACUUUUAACAACGGAUCU
rnacentral:misc_RNA from 1 species